AGCUCAAAUUUGAAAUCCCCCCGGGGAGUUGUAAUUUGAAGAUUGCGUCUUGGAGGCGACCGUGUCUAUGUUCCUUGGAACAGGACGUCACAGAGGGUGAGAAUCCCGUGCGGCACGGCCCCCGGCUCCUUAUAAGGCGCUCUCGACGAGUCGAGUUGUUUGGGAAUGCAGCUCAAAGUGGGUGGUAAAUUCCAUCUAAAGCUAAAUACAGGCGAGAGACCGAUAGCGAACAAGUACAGUGAUGGAAAGAUGAAAAGCACUUUGAAAAGAGAGUGAAACAGCACGUGAAAUUGUUGAAAGGGAAGGGCAUGCCGUCAGAUUGUCAGUGUGGGUAAGAAGCGGGGUACAAAGACUGUGGAACGUGGCCCUCGGGUGUUAUAGCCGCAGUUCAUGCCCCGUCUCUUUCCGAGGCCUGCUUUGAGGACACCGACGUAAUGACGGUACGCCGCCCGUCUUGAAACACGGACC
rnacentral:rRNA from 1 species